GAAGCAAAAGCUGUAACAGAGUCAUACAGAACACAAGUGCAGCCGUUUGAGCCCAUUGCCUAUGUGUGACUAUUAUACUUCCAGAGGGGUUUAUAGACAUCUAGGAGUCAUAAAGGACACCACCAGCUCUGCCUAUAAUGACCCUCCAAACGCCCUUCAAAGAUCCAUGUUUUGGAGAUUCUCCAACCCAGCAGGGCUGGCCUGGACUUUGCUUCCUCCAGAGUUCAGCAUCAACCUGGCUUCUUCAGUGGGCUGAAAGAGCCUCUGGAAAGCAGAGGCUCCUUACCGCCUGUCUAGGCUUUGAAUACACUCCCCCUCCAGCA
rnacentral:lncRNA from 1 species